GAGACCAGUUCCUCAGGAGGCAAAGGUGUGAAGUAGAGGGGACUACAGCUGUGAAGGGAGGUGUUUGGCUCUUAGGGAAAAUGGGUGUGAAAGAAUGGGAGCUUAGAUCCUGAAAGGGAUGAACAGGGACAUAUGAAGAUAACAUAUUGCUUCAGAUGAACAGCUUUUCAGACUCUCGAAAGGAUAUGAGAGAAUGGUGUCAGAACUAGUAUCUAUAGGCAUCACAUGGUCUUUAUCUGGUGGAGGAGGCAGGAAGCCUUAAAUGGUUCACAGAUUUAAGAAACAGAAGUUAACUGCCUUGGGUUAAUCAAUGUGUCAUUCACUCAAUUUUUGCUUUGGCAUAUUUAAAGUCAAUCCUGUGAUAUAUAUUUAACUUCAUUUCAAUUUUAAUAUAAUAGUUGUUUGAGAACAAACACACCAUAAUACAGAAUAGAAAAUAUAUUUGACAAAAUGCUGUAAAACUGCCAAAUAACACUUAGUGAAUUGAAAAUUCCCUUUUAAAAAAUCUAGCAUGAGGCUGGGAUGUAGCUCAGUAGUACAGUUCUUGCCUAGCAUGCUUACCCAGGACCAUGGGUCUGAUCCCAGCACUGGAAAACAAAAAGAAACAAAAACCAAACUAACGUGAAAUGUGUUAAUAAUUAUUAACUUAUAAAAAACAAUUUUUGAACUGUCCAUUUUAUUAAAAUAGUUUAUUUAAGGAAAAGUUAAAGACUGAAGAAUGUGGGAAAUACUGGCUAAUUAUAGCAUUAUUCUUACCUAUUGUGCGGAGAGGAAAAGUUUGUGUUCUGAUAAUUAAGUAUUGACAGAAAAGUGCCACAUUACAGUUAGCCCUCUGUAUCUAAGGGUUCCACAACAGAGGAUUCAACUGUUUGGAUCUAAUCUGUUUGAAUGACAAAAAAAAAAAAAAAAAAAAAAAAAAUUGUGUCUUUACUGAACAUGUUCAGACUUUUUGCCUUGUCUGUAUUCCCUACAUUAUAACAUAACAACUGCC
rnacentral:lncRNA from 1 species